CGUUGUUAUUAGCCUGCACUGCGGCGAGUGAAGCGGCAAAAGCUCAAAUUUGAAAUCUGGCGUCUUUGGCGUCCGAGUUGUAAUUUGAAGAAGGUAUCUUUGGGCCCGGCUCUUGUCUAUGUUCCUUGGAACAGGACGUCACAGAGGGUGAGAAUCCCGUGCGAUGAGAUGGCCCGGGUCUAUGUAAAGUUCCUUCGACGAGUCGAGUUGUUUGGGAAUGCAGCUCUAAGUGGGUGGUAAAUUCCAUCUAAAGCUAAAUAUUGGCGAGAGACCGAUAGCGAACAAGUACAGUGAUGGAAAGAUGAAAAGAACUUUGAAAAGAGAGUGAAAAAGUACGUGAAAUUGUUGAAAGGGAAGGGCUUGAGAUCAGACUUGGUAUUUUGCAAGUUACUCUUUCGGGGGUGGCCUCUGCGGUUUACCGGGCCAGCAUCGGUUUGGAGCGGUAGGAUAAUGGCGGGGGAAUGUGGCACGACUUUGGUUGUGUGUUAUAGCCUCUGACGAUACUGCCAGCCUAGACCGAGGACUGCGGUUUUUACCUAGGAUGUUGGCAUAAUGAUCUUAAGUCGCCCGUCUUGAACAACGGGACCAAA
rnacentral:rRNA from 1 species